rnacentral:rRNA from 1 species
UCGAAAACCUGUCCCAGUUCGGACUGGAGUCUGCAACCCGACUCCACGAAGUUGGAUUCGCUAGUAAUCGCGCAUCAGCCAUGGCGCGGUGAAUACGUUCCCGGGCCUUGUACACACCGCCCGUCAAGCCAUGGGAGCCGGGGGCGCCUGAAGUCUGGGACCGCGAGGACCGGCCUAGGGCGAAACUGGUGACUGGGGCUAAGUCGUAACAAGGUAGC